GUGCAGCCUCCUGGAAAGCCCAUUGGCCCCCCAAUCCCCACAGCCGCCCGCCCGCACCUCUCCCGCCUCCGGUCCUCCCUUCUCUCAGCCGCCACCCCACGAACCCUAGCCGUGCCCUCCUGCAUCUGUCCUCCUCCCCCUUCCUGGUCCGUCCCAAGCCCCUCCUCGUCUCAUGAGCUAGCCGAGGAAAAGAGGGGUGACGCGACGACCUGGUCGUCGGCCGGUGGGGAGCCUCGUAGAGGCGGUGGCGGAGACGACCCUAGAUGGUGCCCCGGCCAAGAUCUGGACAGGGUGCCUCAACCUCGUCUUCCUCUUCCACCUACUCGCUGAUAGAGAGACGGCAGCAGCGGUGGGAGGAGCCUAGGCGUAGAGGAGAGAAGUGGACGAGGGGGGUGCAAAGGCAGGAGAUGGGGGUCGCCGGAUGAGCACAGUCGCACAGGGCCUGAUCCCGCCGCUGCUAGAGCAGAGUGGAGGACCACAUGGCCCGAUGGGGUGGCUGGGAGCGUGCGGAUUCUGGCUCCCAAGCAGGGAAUGCAGUGGUGCUGGCCUCUCCUCUCCCUGCGCCUUUGUCCUGCGUCGUCACUACCGCCACGGCCUUGCUCGCCAUUGACCUCCCCAAGUGCUUCUCUCCACAAAUGGUGCCGCCAUGUCCAGAUCAAUUCAAGCGCCAGGAAAGUACAACACGUGCAUAACUUGUUUGAGGAAAUUCCAUCUGGAAGCAAUAUUUGAUCAUGACUUGUGUUCUUGAUGCUUCAUCUGCGGCUAGCUGACUACAACAUCACAUAUGUAAAGGGAAACCAUCGUAAGAAACACAGGUAAAAAGGCAUUUUCCUUGUUCUUAUAGUUUUGGAUCAAAGUUCACAUUUUACCUUGAGUGACUCUUUUUUUUUGUUAUAGAAUGGAUUCAACAAUAAUCAAUAAGGAAGUGCAAACUGAGAGGGGUGGGAAAAAUAACCUAAGUAAAGAGCUAAUAUGAAAUGCUACUUUCCAGUGAUUUGUUGUGACCUGUUAAUUUUUUAGUAUGGAGCUUGAAGUUUUAUUGCAGAUAGGAAGUUUCAUUUUAUUCUUAUCCACAUGCUUACUAAAUUUACAUUUUUAUUUCAUUUCUGGAAAGAGGCAACCUUAAAUAAUUUAGAGGACUCUUCAGAUUAUAAGAGAAAAGCCAUAUAGGUCAUAAAUGCAUAGGCAUUCCAAAAAAAGGCACAAAAAUUGAGCUAGAAGGUAUGUAUAAAUUCAUGUGAAACUGAGACAUAGGCAAGCAUACAUAGGAAUUUUGCAGGAUCAUUCCUACGAUCUGGAGGGCCAUUAUAGCCAGAUUUACCUAACGUCUCUAAGAAAAUCUUUUGAAACUCGGACCAUCCAGAUAUAUCAACAUGGAAAAGCCUGCUGAAAGAAACUUUUGUAGCUGAAGAUGCUUGAUUAUACUUCCUAUGGGCUUGUUUUGAAAAGAAUUUUUCCUGGCAUGCCAUAUGUGAGCCCCCAACCAUCUCUCUCUCUCUCCCGCACUCAUUUUCUCUCUCUCACGUUUUGCCUUUGAGGCUGUAGAUCUAAGCACUAGCUGUUUGUAAAAAUGCUCAAGGUGGGCUGCUUAGAGGAGGGCAGUAUGUUCUACAGUUUCAGUUAUAUGAUUACAUACAACUAAGCAAAAGUUUACAUGAUUCUAUAAUUAUUGUUGGAGAUUUUUACUCACAGUAAAUUUCUUCAAAGGAUCUGUUUAAAGACAACAGGCAUAUAUUUGUACAGAGAUCAUAUUAUUUUGAUACCCAUGUAAGUUCUCUUAUCUCUUUGAUGUGCAUCUUCUUUAGGAACUUACCUCGUUGCAAUUUCUGGUCAUUCUUUGCAUAGCUAAAUCGGUAUCAAGAAUAUUGUAUUGUUUAUUUCUUACCAUGUCUGAUCGACUAAUAUGGCUACGUCUAUGCAAUACUUUUAUAGAUGAAAUUGGUGGUUCAUGGAGACCCAAGGUGCACUGACAGAAGAUAUCAGAGGAGCAGAGGAAAAUGCAAGUGUGUAUGUGUGAAAAAUUAUUGCUUUAACUCAAGAUCAGUUGUUCGUUCUUUCAAGCGCUAUGUUGCUUACUCAAAUGUUUGUGGCGAUUGUAUCCUUGUGCCAUGAAUAUUUUUACUUAGCAGAUCAAUAUAAACAUAUUGGCUAUCUAUUUACCAAUUCUGAAUUUAAAGCACUUUAUUUUAUGGCCUUGAGUAAAAGUUCAGUCAUUGUUGGCUGGAAGACAUCUUCAAUACGCCGUCAACACGAGCUUACCAAGGUAAUGAUCUAUUUAUUAUCAGCCCAUAUCUGGUUUGUAACAGGGUUAUUAUGUUUCAAAAUCCUCUGGCAUCAGAAAGGAGAUUUUGUGGAUGAUGUAAGAUAUCCACAUGUUGUAUAUGUGGAAAAACCAAAGGCUCGGGAUGUUGAUUUUUCGGAUGAAAGGAUUUAUCAGGCAAAAACUACAAGUGAAAUGGAAGAAGUAACGCUCAAAAGCCUGAAUAGAAUUCCUUGGCAAAGGGUAGAUGUUAGCUUCAAGAGAAGUAGACAAUGGAUUUUUGCCCAUAGCACCAUUCAGGUCCAGUUGUCGUUGCCUUCACUUGCUUUGUCGUUUACCCAUCUGUCAGCUCGCCGAUCCCCUGACUUGCUGUCAAGAUUCUAGGAUAUUAACAUUUGCAGCCAUACAUUGGUUUCAAUGGUGACAGAUUUCUGUCAAUCCCACAGAGAUAAUUUAAUUCAAGACUAGCAAAUACAUUGAGAUCGAGGAGAGAGCAAGCCGUUGCAGAGGAGAGGGGAUACGAGGGUGGGCGGAGGUCAGGCAUUGCUAACAGAUUUGCGGCGGAGUGGGAGAGGUGACGCCGGCCGGCCGGCGCCUCACCACCGGCUCCUGUUUGGCGGUGGCAAAGAGAAGGGUGCCGAGGAUGUGUUGCUCUAUGCAUGGCUGUUGAAGUACAUCAUCGUUAUGAUGUGUAUGGUUUCUCUAUUUUCAGCCCUACUGCUCCAGAUCCCAAAUCCCAUGACCAUGCCCCCACCUCUCCUUCGUUGAAUGAAGGGAGUCUGGUUGCUAAAAAGUGACUUUUCUUAAUCAGUAUGUAUGGCCCCUCUGCACAUGCCGUUUCUUCGUAUUUAAGAGGCCCUCAAGCUUUGUCAGUUUUCUGAUAGAUAUGGAAUUUUAAUUUGAUAGUCCCAACAACGGUGGGUACUGAUGGAGCUAUCUAUUAUUUAUUGUCAAUCUGUAAUACUUUUGUCAGCUUCUAGCAUGUGGUUGCUCUACCAGAGUGCAAUUUUCUCUGCGUGGCAUACACCAGUUACCAUUAGUUGAUAUGUUUGUUGAAGUUUUAUUACAAGUUAAAUAAAUGUGUAGUGUGGCAAACUGAUUAUUAUAAUUUGAUAAUGUCAGGCGCCGAUGGCUUUAUAGAUAUGUAAAUAAAAUACCUUUAAGUAAAACUAAGCAUUUAAUUAUUGUUAUGUUAUGCUAUUGAUUUCACCUGACUUUAUGUCGGCCGAUUAGUUCUGAAGGAUUCCACAUCGGCUAAUUUAGAUUAUUUUACUAGAGUAUUAGAAGAAGUUCCUGAUAUAUGUACUUAGAGCAUUUGCUGAGAUUUGAUGCAAAAUAUUGAUGACCAGGCAUUAUACUGCGCAUAAGCACAAUUUUUUAGUUUUUAUUUUUAUUGUUGCAGCAGCUUUUCUAUAGCAAUAGCCAAAUAGUGUGACAUAACACUUCCAUUUUCACAGGCCAUAACACAUCUUUACAUGUAAGUUUGUUCUCUAGAUAGUUCUCUUUCCAAGAUUUUCAUAUCAUAUUUGUCGUGGGAUCUGACUGCUUUACCAUAUUUUCCUGGUGUGGACGAUGUUAUAGAGUGAGCUACCAUCACUUCUCAUUACUGACUGUAAUCAAUAUAUAUGUGUUUAUGCCAUAAAAGAUGGACAUUUGUCGAA